CCUUUGUACACACCGCCCGUCGCUACUACCGAUUGAAUGGCUUAGUGAGUCCUCCGGAUUGGAAGCUGAAUGCUGGCAACGGCAUAUCGUUUUCGAGAAGUUGGGCAAACUUGGUCAUUUAGAGG
rnacentral:rRNA from 1 species